UGUGUGUAUAUCUGAGAGAGAGAGAGAGAGAGAAAGAGGGCCGAAAACACUGAAAAAGGCGAAAAGUAAAGACCCAUAUAUCGUUCAAAACAGCCAUUUCCUCAAAUCAAUCUUUUUUAGGGGACUUCACUUCGUUGAGACGUGCUUCUGUCUACUCUACCAUACGAACAAGACGACGGGGAAGACGAACAAACAACUGAACAAGUGCAAAAGGUUUGAAAAAUUGGCCAUACUCUCAACCCAAAAAAUUCCCUCACCGUCGGUGUGAAUUUUCUGCCAUAUUGACUUAACCGGCAACUUCUCGACUCUCAGGUGUCGUUUUUCUGUUUCAUUCUUUUAUUUAUUUAUUUUUGCCACAUUUUGAUUGAUUGUAUCACUUAUUACAAGAAAUUUAGUGAUUUUGUAAUUAGGGUUUUGGUGUUUGGGACUAUGAAGCAAGUUUUUGAAUAAUUAUAUCUGUCUGUCUAUUGCUUCUUGUUUGGGUUCGGGCUGAAGCUCUUUCAGUUUGAUUGGUUUUCCCUAGGUCUGUUUCGGUUAUUAAGUGAGUUUAUAGGAAAAUCAGAUAGAUUUUUUUUCAGGAAAUGUGGUUUUGAUGGGAAUUUGUGUUCAAAUAUUUCAUCUUGCAAAUGUGGGCUAUCAAAAUGCCUGAAGAAUUCUAGUGGACCGCCUUUAAUUGAACAAGUGGAGGAAAAUACAGAAAAAUUGAACAUUUUAUGAUGAAGAAUAAUAAAAGGAGAAGGGUGAAGAAGUUGACUAUUUCAGAAUUGGAGGAAACUGGUAAAGAUUGAAAGGAGGAGAGCAAUUAAUAAUUGUUAAACUGAAUAAACAACAAGGCAAACUCAUGCGAAUUCAAUGAAUAUAAUAGGUGUGCAAGUAAAAGUGAGCAAUCAUGGCACAAGAGUUCGCAACUAGGGUGGCUAACGGUUUUCAUAAUGUAAACCAUUAUCAAGGCACAAAAUGAGUAAAUGCUUAAAACAUGACUUCAGAACCAAUGAAUGAAGGACGUGUAAGUUGGUCGAUAAAACGGGAACCUAUAACAGAAUUAGUUAGAAAUUUACCACUAGAUGACCACCCCUUGUCACUAGGGCUAGGCAACGGGUCGGGUCUGGUAGCUUUUGGCCUAAACCCGAUUCGAACCGGUUUGCUUGGUUUUGGAGACUCUCUGGAACCGAUCGGAGCAGGUUCUGGUCGGGUCGGUUUGGUCCGGGUCACCUAUUUUCCACUUUUUGUUCAAUUUCAACAAUAAAAUUAUCAAUUGCCUACAAAACAUAGAACAAGAAAGCAUAAUAUUUAUUUAAAACUCAGCCUAGGAUUAAAAAACUACCUUGCGAAUGCUCAGGAUCACGAGCACUCCAUCGUUUUAUGUUUUUAUUCUCCAACCCCACACUGAAGCAGAUCAACACAGUCAUGAAAACAACACCACUUCUUCCAAUAUCUGUACAUGAAGAAUUUGAAAACUAUCUCGACCAGAACCCCAAUGAUAGACCUACUUUUCCCAAAUCCAAAAACAGAAGAAUGACAAAAAUCAAAGGGAAAAAAAAGAACACUUCAGAACAUCUCAGUGGGAUUCUACUACCAUCACCGUUGACAACAUGAUUUGUGAUGGUGGAGACAGAGAUUAGGAGAAAAAAAUCAGUGUUUGUUUUGUUCACCAAAAGCAAGUCUCGUUUAUUUUGGGAAGGAGCAAGUCUUGGGGGUAUCUUUUAGGUUGAUGACUGCCAAUUUCGUCGGAGUGAAGGGUGGCUGGGAUUUACAGAAGUGGAAGAAGAAAGUUUUUCACUCUCCGAUAUUCAUGCUUGAGUUCAGAUGAAAUGAGAAUACGGUUUCCUUUUGUAAACUCGUAAAUUGACUCGAUCUACAAUAAUUUUUAAUUUUUAAAAACCGAUCCGACCAGAAUCUAUAAUUAAACCGACCUAACCCGACCCUAUUCGGUUUGGUUUGGGUUAGGUUAGCAGGUUGCCUUUUUGGCCCAGGCCUACUUGUAACUUACCAAAAAGACCUAAUUGCUCCCAAAACCCCAAAAGGAAAUCUAUAAAUAGGUCUGCCUAGAAGAAAAGAGGGAUGCAAAUUUAAAUAUCUUCAUCUAAAUAGCAUUUUUUCGUCUUGUUCCUUACUGAUCAUCAGGUACAGAGAGAAUUGGAGGAGAAAAUUCAGGUUAGGUGAAAGAAAUUUGUUGAUCAUAAAUCUGUUAUUAACAAUAAUUAAUAAUUUCUACUUUAGUAAUUUCUUUGCAUUUAUUUCAGUCUACUAAUCUGCUUCUGCGGCUCUCCCUCGAGCAUAGAAAAGAACAUGUUUGAUAGUUUUGAUUUGUUUGAAUAUGUGUUAUUGUUAGAUUAUUUAAUGUUUGCAUGUCAGUUCGAUUGAGUUAAUUUGGGAAAUAUUUAGUCGGUUGCUUUGCUGUUUAUAUAUGUCGUCACUUCAAUUGAGUUAAUUCGUGUUCAUGUUUAGUGUUUGGGCCUUGCCCUGUUGGUAAAACUGAGUAGAACUGCAUUGCUUUGUCAGUUCAAUUGCGCAUAUGAAAAUGUGGUGAUGCAUUUUGGAUUAAUUACGACUCAUAUAAUGACAUAUGCCUAUCAAUUAAGUAGGUGCACAUAAGUCGUGCCCUCACCGUAAUAGUUUUCUGGUUCCACCCCUGUAUGUGUGUGAAUUCCUCUCCAAUGCUUUGCUAUAGUAGUUUAAUUGAUGAUUAUAUUAUCUGAACAUGGAUUUGGAGUUAGUUUCAACUGAACAAGCAUUCAAUCAUAAACAAGUGAUCAGAAAUAGAAGAACUUGUUUAACCUAAUCCUGCAUUCUACUUGUUCUAUCAAAUGCUCCAAAAAAAGAUGUAUUCAGUAUUAUGCUUCCAAUACUUUGCCAAAUCAAAUGUUAUGUGCAUAGGUGUGUGUGGGUGGACUUAUAAAGCUUGAAAUUCUCAUAUUUGUGAGAGUGAAUUUAAGUUUCAAUUGAUGGAUAUACUCUUUAUUUGGUAAUGUUAUCAGGAGUUUUGAGUACGCGUUACAAUGCUGAGGCUUUUGAGUUGCAAGUUAUGGGAACGUGUGAAUGGAGGAAUUAAUAUCGGACCAUUAUCAUGUGCACAAUCAAGUGGUUUUCACAGUUCUCAGGUAUGCGUAGGAUAUUCUCAUAAUCAAUUCUAUGCAGUCAAAUUACUUUUUUGAAUAGAUAUGUAUGUGUUUUUGCCCGCAAGCUAAUUUUAUAUGAAUAAUCGACUUUUUCCUUUUCUGUUAAGAGAUGGGAAUUUUUUCCUCAAAGAAUAUGCCAGAUUAAGGUUUCAUCUUCAGGUUUUACCCAUUUAAUGUUAUCUACCUGUAUCUUUUGUAAUCAUCACUUAUCUCAAUGCCCUAUCUAGUUUUAUAAAUCUAUGUUGGGCAUUAGAGCUGAUAAAAUCACAAAAUUAUCACUAUCUUCCCGUAAAGGGAAAGAGACAGGACACUGGAAUGCUAAAAUCACUUUUAAAUCAUUAAAACUCAGUAUUUUUUCCCGGUGCUAAACAUGUAUCCUUGAAUUGCUUCAUUGAUACGGAAACUUUUUAGUUGAAAAUUUGGGUUACUCAUUCAUUAAGUUAUUGCUUCAACAUUUUGGGUGCUUUGUGUAGAAAUAGAUAAGCAAUAAUUGCACAUAGUGCUUGUUUGGUAGGGAUUCUGAUAAUUGAUUUUUUGACCGUUAGAUAUAAAGUGGGUCCUACCUGUGAGAGAAGAAUUAAAAAAUGAUAGUUGAAAUAAUGAAAUAACGGUCAAAAAAUUGAUUUUAAUUGGUUUAAAAGCUACACCAAACAAGCUCAUAGAGUGACAGACAUUAUCAUGCAUCCAUGGUAAUGCCGAAUAAAAGGGAUUCUAGCAGAGAAUAAGAACAACAUGAAAGAAGCAGAAUUGCAGAACUUCUGCAAGAAGGAGAAGAGGAGGAAGAGAAGAAGAAAGGGAGCAAGAAGGGGGAAGGAAGGACUGGAGAAUAAAAUUAGAGGAAGAAGAAUUAAGAGAAAGGGAGGAAAACUUGCAUAUUCAUUUCAUGAAUUCAUCAACUGUCUUUUGAAAAGCAAUACAAGCAUAUAAAUAAUGAAAGUAAACCUAAUGGUUAUGAGGCUUGGGCCAACCCAUUAAUACAAGCCCAAUGAAAUAAAACAUAAAUAGUAGUCUACAACAUAGAUAAGAGUCCAAACAAGUGAUGUCCUCAUCAACUCUCCCGAGAUGGGAGAAAAACUCGAGUGCGUCGAGUGGUUGAACUACCACGGGGGACUAUCUUUCCGACGAACCAAAUAUCGGAACUCAACAAAUGAUGAGAACGCCAGUUGCAAAUUAUCCCCAAGCAUAUGAUCUGACCAAGAUGACCUAGACAAAGGAAGAUUUUGUUGACUCUUAUAAAAUUCCAGUGAAUCUGGAUCGUGCUGUUGAAGUCUCUUUCUAGGGGUUCAUGUACCUUCAGAAUCAAGUCUAUCCACCCAACGAACAAGAAAGUACGGAAUCUCUCUAUCAUUGGUCAAAACAAUCUGAUAAUCUAAUAUCACAUCAAUCUCAUCUUUGUGUGUUGUGAUAGUGAUAGUGGAGUAGACAUGGCAAAAGAUUCAAUGUAGGAAUUUCCAUGUGGAGGUAGAAAAUGAUCAGAGGGGUUAAAAUAGCCUUUGUAAGCAACGAAGUCCUUAACAAAUAAAAUAAAAUGGUGACCAAAAUGUGAGAAAAGAUCAAUGACAUGUAUUUGAACCAACAUACUUUAAAAUUUCAUAAGAACCAGCACUACGGGCUUUAGUAUUACAUAUUCCCCAAUGUUAAAUUCAAAAUGUCGUUUAUGCCAAUUAGCUCGAAGUUUAUAUAAUGCAUUACUUGUAUCAAGUUGUUUAUUGAUCUUAGUAUGCAAGUCAUGGAAAUGAUAUACAAAUGCUCCAUAUGACAAUGACACACUAGCAUGCGGGGACAUGGGAAUAAGAUCUAACGCCUGCUUCGACUUAUAACUAUGAACAAUUUCAAAUGGAUUUAGACCUAGAGAUCGAUUCGUAGAAUUGUUAUAUGCAAUGUGAACAGUUGGGGGAUCAAAAACUAAUUCCCAAGAUUUUUCUGGACUAAAGAUUUGAAUAAAUUGCAAGGACUUUGGUUAACGAUUUCAUUUUGACUAUUAGUCUGAGGUUGGUCUAUAAUGGAGAAUUUCAAUUUAGUGCUAACCAUAGGCGAUUGGUUCUCCAAAAGUGACUAGUGAAAUCAUGAGAUAUAGCAUCCGGAGUCUUAGGAAGAGUCUGGAUGCCACCUAAGGAGGUAUCCUCACUAUCAUCAUUAAAAUCUUCUAGUUUAGGUCCAUAUACUAGAUCUUCUAAAGACUCUUCUAUUACAUCCUUUUGUUCUUCUAUGACCAAGGCUCGGUUAGGACAUUUGGAAGAGAUGUGGCCACAGUCCUUACAGCUGAUACAUAGCAAGUGAGAAGAAGUCCUUGGAGUUUAAAAAAUUUUACCCUUAUUUUCCAAGAUUGGAUGAACAGUAGACGGGGAAGGUCCUAGAAGGGUCUUAACGGCAGGAAGUGGAGCCAAUGAAAUAAAAGAAUGGUUGUCAAUAUGCCUUCUAUAUGGAGAAGGGGGCCUUGGACUAUCAUGACCUUUACACUUACUUUUCUAAAUGGGAGGAACACUAAAUAAUGGAGGCUCUAUGACAGACUCAUGUUGAGUGACGCUAAUGACAUGGGUGAACGAUAGUGAUCUUGCUUUUCAUAUGGAGUACUAAUAGUCAACUCAUAAUCUUGGGCUAAAGAAUGUGUGAUCAAGAGUAGUGACACCUCGAAAGAAAAGCUCACGUCUAAGAUCAUCUCUUAGACCUUGGCUAAACUUACUCAAAGUCAUGGUCUCAUCCUCAAUGACAUGACAUUUGGUUCGAAAUUCCUCAAAUUGUGCAAUAUACUCAGUCACUAACCGAUUUCCUUGUUUAAGAGCAGUCCAUUGCGUAAAAACUUCAAAAUCGAAGCAAUCAUUAAAAGUAGGAGUAUCUAAUUUACUGCCUCUAAAGAAACUCUCCUGAUGACGAGAAAGUGAAUGAGUACUGUGAUGAUUACAACCUAGUUCUCGCUCACAAACUUGAUCCCUAUCACUACGAUCGUGUCGGAAGCAUUUUUGAUCACUAUGUCGAUGAUGAUAUUGUCUAUUACGGAUCAUUUUAGAUUUAUGAGCGUCAAUCAAAUAAGGGAUUUGAUUAAAAUGGCUCUAUUUAGCAGCUAGGUUCUUUCUCUCCUCACGAGUAGCAGCUAUAUCGGAUUGGACAAUCGCUAAUUGAGUCUGAAACUGUUGUUGAUUAGUGACAAGUUGGGCUGGCAUCAAAUUUGGAAGGAUCCAUGGUCAAAGUAUUAGUACUAAGGAUGACAAGAUGACCACCCGCAAUUGCAUGCAAUGUAGUAACAAUUAAAUGCAAUGUAUGAGGAGAUCAAUGGACAUACAAUUGCAUAUAAAGACAAUAUAAACUUGAGCAGUUAUAUAUAUAUAUAUAUAUAUAUAUAUAUAUAUAUAUAUAUAUAUAUAUAUAUAUAUAUAUAUAUUUUUUUUUUUUUUUUUUUUUUUUGGUGGGAUUAUGUAGAUCUUUAUAAGGCAAGCUAAUAUUGCUGAUCUAUGUAAAAUGACAAAGCACGGUUCAAAUACUAGUCAACAACAUAAUAGUGUAAAAGGUUAAAAGUGAAAAGUGAAUAAAACAAGUUUGAAUAGGUCUAGGGUGUCGGUUAUGUGAAUUUUAGGUAAAAGUGAGGAUUACCGCAGCACAAAGAAAUUAAUCAAUGUAAUUUUAAAAUAAACAGUAAUAUAAACCAAAGAUAGAUAAAAUAGUAACUUCCCUUAUUCGUGGAGGCGCUAUGUUGAUUCGUUGAGAUGCCAAGACAGAAAAUUUCGGUAUUCGUUGAGACUUGGUACUGAUCAGUCAAACUAAAAUAUACCUGCAAAACAAUGUUAGGAAAUUCUCGAUUUUUUUCUUUUUUUUUCCAUCCUUUUUUUUAAAAAAUAAAAUUACACUUUUAUAUAAACAUAAACAAACAGAGGUAUAAAUUGAGACCCAAACUAUGCUACUGACACAAUAAGAGCCCAAUAGUAACAGGCGUUCACUUGCUCCAAAAUCUGGGGCCCUUUCUUCGUUUGUCUUCCUGGGUCGCAGGUCAAAGGCAGCCGGCGGUUGAUUGACAGCAGGUUGGGCUUAGAGAGGCAGUCGACGGUGGUGGAUUCUGCCAGUGCGAACUGGUGGUUGAGACGGUGGCUUAAAUCGAGGGUGUAAGCUGUUGCAGAGGUUCAAACAGAUGUAGAGGAAGCGGCGACUAGUGAUUUUGGGGAAUGGGUUUUAUGAUCUUGACUGGUGGCGGUUUGUAAUGGGCCGAUUUGAUGUUGUGUAUGUGAAUUCGCACAAUAAAUUGUGAAAUUUUGGUGGUGACAGGUUGUGCGGUUGUAGGGUUCUGUUGAUUGUGGGCGGUUAUUGCUUAGUGGGGGUUGUAGUUGGUGGAGGAAGUUCUGGGUGUUUUGGGUGAUUGAUAUUGCAGAGGACUGUCGUGGUUGGGGUUGAGCCUGUGAUGGUCAUUGGUGUACUAUAUGUCGGUUGGGGAGGUGGAGGCACUGGAGGAGAAACUGAAUGAAUAAUUACAGGCGAAGGAGGCAGAGGUGACUGGGGAUGUUGUUGACUGUUGAUGCUUUGUAAAUUGUUGUCCAGGUUUAGCUCUGAUAUCACUUUGAUUCCGGAUAAAAGGGAUUCUAGCAGUGAAUAAGAACAGCACGAAAGAAGCAGAAUUACAGAACUUCUGCAAGAAGGAGAAGAGAAGAGGAAGAGAAGAAGAAAGGGAGCAAGGGGGAAGGAGGGACUAGAGAAGAAAACCAGACGGAGAAGAAUUAAGAGAGGGAGGAAAACUUGCAUAUUCAUUUCA
rnacentral:lncRNA from 1 species